rnacentral:rRNA from 1 species
UACAGAGGUCUCAAGCGUUGUUCGGAUUUAUUGGGCGUAAAGAGCGUGUAGGCGGCCUGACAGGUCUGCUGUGAAAACUCGAGGCUCAACCUCGAGAUGUCGGCGGAAACCGUCUGGCUAGAGUACGGAAGAGGAGAGUGGAAUUCCCGGUGUAGCGGUGAAAUGCGCAGAUAUCGGGAAGAACACCCGUGGCUAAGGCGGCUCUCUAGUACGGUACUGACGCUGAGACGCGAAAGCGUGGGGAGCGAACAGG